UUUUUCAGAAUCGACUGGUUUAUUCUUUGGGUUGUCUAAAAAGG
rnacentral:tRNA from 1 species